GGUUCGAUGGUCUAGUGGUAUGAUUCUCGCUUAGGGUGCGAGAGGUCCCGGGUUCAAUUCCCGGUCGAACCC